UACGAAGGGUGCAAGCGUUAUCCGGAUUCACUGGGUUUAAAGGGUGCGUAGGCGGAUAGGUAAGUCCGUGGUGAAAUCCUGCAGCUUAACUGCAGAACUGCCAUGGAUACUAUUUAUCUUGAAUAUCGUGGAGGUUAGCGGAAUAUGUCAUGUAGCGGUGAAAUGCUUAGAUAUGACAUAGAACACCCAUUGCGAAGGCAGCUAACUACGCGAUAAUUGACGCUGAUGCACGAAAGCGUGGGGAUCAAACAGG
rnacentral:rRNA from 1 species